GGAUGCGUGCCCGGGUGGUCUAAAGGCGCUGUUUCGAAAACAGAUGGUCGGCUCCGCCGGCAAGAGCGUCGACUCGCUCCGCAUCCUCCA
rnacentral:tRNA from 1 species